rnacentral:sRNA from 1 species
UAUCAAUCAAUACUCAAUCACCUAGCAUACUGAGAAUUCUACACUACUCUAACCCAUCCUCAGAAACCUAUUCACUACUCAGACAUCAUAACAGAAAGCAUAAACGUUAAACAGGUUGAAGACAUGAUAACAGCAGUGUAACAGCAGUAUGAUAACAGAAUGAACAACAGUAAACGAAAAUCAAGAACAGAAACUGAAUACUGAAUACUGAAUAGAUAAAGAGAAAUCCGGAUUACAAAAAGUCUAGAACAAAAGGGCUGCGGAAAUAAAACUAGAUUAAAAACUUCUUCCUUUCGAAAAUGAGAAAUACAUGCUACUUAUAGCCAAAUAUCCCGAAACCCUAAUACCCAAAACGACGAAGUAUUUGGACGGGUUAAGAACUGUACUCGACCCACGUGGUCGAGUGAUAGGUCGAGUGAAUAGCUGGAGUCUUCUUUUCUUCCUUGUGCUCGAGUGUCUGGUUGAGUGCAGAAUGAAGAAGGCUCUGAAGCUUGUCAUCGAGUAUGCAGUCGAGUGGUGUGGUGGAGAUACUCGACCUCUUGGUAAAGUGAGUAGGUCGAGUGGUUGUCUGAUGAUGGAGGUGAAGACACUCGACCUCAUGGUCGAGUGAAGUGAUCGAGUGACGGUCUGGUGAUGGAGAUGAUGGCACUCGACCUCGGGGUCGAGUGGUGAGGUGAAGUGGUGAUGUCUUCUACUCGACCUGGUGGUCGAGUGGUUUGUCAUGAUCAUGUCCGCUUCUUCCAGAUAGCUCGUCAACAACUCCAAAUCACCUGAAAUCAACGCAAAUAUGCAACAUGCAUGCAAAACUAUCCUAAACACGCAAAGUGAUGAUAAAUGUUGUGAAAUGGUAUAAAACAGUGAAGAUAUGAUGCUAAAAUGAUGACAAAUGGAUGCUCAAAACAUGCAAAAUACACACUUAUCAAUGAUUUCAAUUAAACUAGA